rnacentral:tRNA from 1 species
GGAAAGGUAGCUCAGAGGACAGAACGCUCGGGGCAGGGCCCAUAGCCUACGAAGGUCGGCGGUUCGAAUCCGCCCCUUUCCCACA